GUCCCGGUGACGGCGGCGCGUCCGCGCGCCCGGGGUCCCGGGAGGGUGGGGCGGCCCGCGGCCGGGCUGGCGGGGGCUCCGGGGCCAGCCCCGCCCCCGGACCCUGAUGCGCGCUGAGCGACUCGGCGGGGUCCGGUCGGGGGUGGGGUUCUGCAGCCGGCUGCCCCCUCCCGGGCCUGAGACUGGGUUCCCGGAAGGCCGGCGCGGCGUUAGACGCUCAGUGCAUGUUCAGCGCGCCAGUGAACGGAGGGAGAAUUAACGCAUUACUAGAAUAUUCGGGGAGUGUGGUUUCCGGUUUCUUAUUAUAUCACCUGCUCUAAAACACUGUUGGGCCCAUGCGAAGCACUGAGUCUAUGUGUGACUAUUGCUCUGAUGGCCAGUUUCAAGCUGCCGACCUUGGGCAUCUGAAGCAAUGUGAAAUGUCUUGAAUGCAGAGUUGGGAACAGCAUUCCCACCGUAUGGGUACAACAGACGGUGAUGGACAUCCCACCUGUCACUCCCAGGAUCCCGCGAUGGCUGGAGACAGAGACUCUUCCGCUGGCCUCGCAGGAGGGAACAGCCAUGUUGUGAAAGCCCCUGGAGAGGGGCGCUUGGCCCGGGACUGCAGAGGCCUCUGGGACCUGAGGGCAACCAACAGCCCAGGAGAAACCAGGCCGACACCUGGACUGUGGCCACGCGGGACCUUGAGCAGAGGACCCGCUGAGCCGCACCCGGACGCCUGCCCUGCAGACCCCGAGGCAGUGACAGCUGAGCUGACCAAGGCACUCCCCUCACUGACCGCUGCUCUGUCACCUCUGAAAACGUGUCGUCUAACACUUCAGAGCUCUGGUGAGAUCGCCAUUGGCCGUGUCAUCAUGUCCCCUCUGCGCUGCACCCCAGAUAUGCUCAGGGCCCAGCUCGGCCUCCACGGAGGCUGCCACGCUCCUGGCUUGAAUUUGCACGGAUGCUCCCACCCUGAGGGGCGCUCAGCAGUCGUCAGAUGCAUGAAAGGAUGGGGCUUAGGGCCUGAGGAGGGGAACCCCCAGGACAACCUUCUGAUUACCCCCCCAUUCAACCUCGGGGACAAAUGCAGCCCCAGGAACCAUCCAGCCGAUGUGGGAUCUGUGUGGGCAUGGUUUCCAGGCCCAGCGGACUGGCUCGCUCUCCUUCCUGUUUAGCUGUGCCUCGUCACCUGCCUCUCACUACCCAAGCCCGCCUCGCUCCUGUGCAGUCACAGGAGCCCCGCUCGGCCUGCCCAGGGCUUAGCCAAGCCUGGCUCAUGGCUGUGUCCCCGCCCCCAGGUCUGCACCUAUCUCCUGGGCACACCAGCCUGGCAGCCAGGCUCCUUUGGUGGAGGAGCCCUGCUUCCACCCUGCUCCUGGGGGUCUGCACAUCACUGGCCCUGCCCCUGCGCUUUGCUCUGCGGGAUUUCACGAGAGAGAACCAGGCCUCUGGGCCCCAGCAUUCUGUGGCCCCUGGUGCUCAGCUGAUGGGCAGGCUGCCGAGAGGGGAGCCUGAUGCACCCUGCGCUGCCCGGCUGCGGGGCCAAAUCUGUCCGUGAGGCUGGCCCGGCAAAGGCAAAAGGGGGCAGCUGCCCCCGUGGGACCCCCAGCCCGUUUUCUGCAAACAAAGGCCCGGCAGCCCGGAGCCCACGCUGCAACUCUGUUGAAACCUCGAGGUGGCUCCCUAUUAACCACUCCUUUUGGUGCUUCCAACACCAAAAAAGGAGUAAAGCAAACCUCUUUCUAAGCAGGAAGAGCUUUCCAGAGCAGAGGGUGUCCCCCAGCCCCCCUGCCGCUGGAGCACUGACAAGGCCCUGGGCCUCCCAGACUCACACAGCUGGGAGCUGCCUGGCGCAGGGUCUGGACCAGAGGCAGGGCAGCCAGCAAGGGGUCCUGCCUGCACGCAGCCCCUGCCUGCACGCAGCCCCUGCCUGGUUUUAUCUUAGAAACCGACAAGACCCAAUUAAAUGAUUUCUUUUUAAAGUAGACACAUACUAGGAGGAUAGGAAGGAUAAAACCAAAGCUCCCACCUCCUCUCUUUCUCCGAGGUGCAACCUCAAAUCCCAGCUCCUUUGUCUGCUCUUUCCGGCGUUGCUGCUCUGCAUUAACCAGUAACCAAUGCAGCAUUACCAUCCGUCUAUCCGUAGGAAGUCUGCUUGCUCUUGUUAAACAGGAGGCACAGGCCAGAACACCAGGCGGGCAUUUUCCCCAGCAAGUCCUGUCUCCCCGGGGACCAGGCGUCUUAUCUCUGGGCCCAUGUCUGGCUUUUCCUGCUGCAGAGAAAUGGCCUUUUUAUCCAGAUGCCGUGGCUCCUUAUCAGGCAGGAGUAACAGUCCUAGGUGUUUACGCCUCUGAGUGCAAACACGUUUGUUUUCAUUAAAAUUUAAUUUUAAAGGAAAGGGGAAAAUGUUGGCUCAAAGAGCACUGGCAUUUCAUCCACUUAGAUUUGCGGGCAGAAGUCCAUCCAAGCCAGCACAGAGCAUUCGCUUGGAAAAUUGGAUGAAGAAAGAGACAGCAGUUCACUGAAAAAGCUUCAUCCGUGGCCUGGCCAGGCAGAGGCGUGACUCAGAGUACAGACCUGGGCCUGCCCAGCAGGCAUCUUCCCUCUGCGGUCUAGUCUCACCUGGAGAGAGGCCUUGGGUGCUAAGCACAGAGGCUUCCCGUAGGCAGUCCUUGUCCUUCGCUGAGCCCCUGCUGAGACCUGGGUUCUGCCCAGCGGGGGUCGUUUUCCCACCUGACAGGUGAGAACACCGAGGCUCCCGGGGACCCGCGGCAAGCCCAGUCCAGUCCGAGGACAGGCCACUUCGCGUAGACCUGGGGUUUAAGCCCAGGUCUGUCUUGCUCCAGAGCCCAUGCUCGUUGCCCUGAAGUUGGCCCCUUGAGUGACAGAAGAGAGCACGGUGGCAGGGAUGGUUUCCCAGGAGCCGCACAGGGGACACGGGGACACAGCCCCACGGCACGCGAUCGAGGCAGUGCCUCAACUCAAGAGAGUAGACGCCCUUCUCACGAAGAAACCUGAGAAACAAAGGAUGCGUCGGUUUGCGAUCAGCAGCAGCUGCUCCUUCCUUAGAGGUUAACUGAGCUAAACGACUAGAAUUCAUCGUCAUGGGUGUGUGGGUGGUCUAGGCUGGCGUGAGCUGUAAUCACCUAGUGGGGGGGCACAUUGUGACUGUGGUAAAAAGUGCUCUGGGAGCAUUGCUAUUGUGAGAUUUUUUUUUUAAUUAAAGAAAAUGACCCUCUAAUUGAAGAGGAAGGGAUAAAUUGGGAGUUCGAGAUUUGCGGAUACUGACUGGUGUAUAUAAACUAGAUAAACAAGUUUAUACUGUACAGCACAGGGAACUGUAUUCAAUAUCUUGGAGCAGCUUACGGUGAAAACGCACGAAAACGAACAUAUGUAUGUUCACGUAUGACUGAAGCCUUGUGCUGUACACCAGAAAAUGACACGUUGUACGCUGACUA